rnacentral:rRNA from 1 species
AGCGGAGGAAAAGAAACUAACAAGGAUUCCCCUAGUAACUGCGAGUGAAGCGGGAAAAGCUCAAAUUUAAAAUCUGGCGGUCUUUGGCCGUCCGAGUUGUAGUCUGGAGAAGCGUCUUCCGCGUUGGACCGUGUACAAGUCUCUUGGAACAGAGCGUCAUAGAGGGUGAGAAUCCCGUCUUUGACACGGACUACCAAUGCUUUGUGAUGCGCUCUCAAAGAGUCGCGUUGUUUGGGAAUGCAGCGCAAAAUGGGAGGUGAAUUCCUUCUAAAGCUAAAUAUUGGCGAGAGACCGAUAGCGAACAAGUACCGUGAGGGAAAGAUGAAAAGCACUUUGGAAAGAGAGUUAAACAGUACGUGAAAUUGCUAAAAGGGAAACGCUUGAAGUCAGUCGCGUCGUCCGGAACUCAGCUUUGCUUCGGCUUAGUGCACUUUCCGGUUGACGGGCCAGCAUCGAUUUUGACCGCUGGAAAAGGGCUGGAGGAAUGUGGCACCUUCGGGUGUGUUAUAGCCUUCAGUCGCAUACAGCGGUUGGGAUCGAGGAACGCAGCGCGCCUUAUGGCUGGGGUUCGCCCACAUUCGCGCUUAGGAUGCUGGCAUAAUGGCUUUAAACGACCCG